AUUGAACGCUGGCGGCAUGCCUUACACAUGCAAGUCGAACGGCAGCACGGGUGCUUGCACCUGGUGGCGAGUGGCGAACGGGUGAGUAAUACAUCGGAACAUGUCCUGUAGUGGGGGAUAGCCCGGCGAAAGCCGGAUUAAUACCGCAUACGAUCUACGGAUGAAAGCGGGGGACCUUCGGGCCUCGCGCUAUAGGGUUGGCCGAUGGCUGAUUAGCUAGUUGGUGGGGUAAAGGCCUACCAAGGCGACGAUCAGUAGCUGGUCUGAGAGGACGACCAGCCACAACGGGACUGAGACACGGCCCAGACUCCUAAGGGAGGGAGCAGUGGGGAAUUUUGGACAAUGGGCGAAAGCCUGAUCCAGCAAUGCCGCGUGUGUGAAGAAGGCCUUCGGGUUGUAAAGCCCUUUUGUCCGGAAAGAAAUCCUUGGCCCUAAUACGGGCGGGGGAUGACGGUACCGGAAGAAUAAGCACCGGCUAACUACGUG
rnacentral:rRNA from 1 species